rnacentral:rRNA from 1 species
AUUGAACGCUGGCGGCAUGCCUUACACAUGCAAGUCGAACGGCAGCGGACCUUCGGGUGCCGGCGAGUGGCGAACGGGUGAGUAAUAUAUCGGAACGUACCUUUCAGUGGGGGAUAACGUAGCGAAAGUUACGCUAACACCGCAUAUUCUGUGAGCAGGAAAGCAGGGGAUCGCAAGACCUUGCGCUGAUUGAGCGGCCGAUAUCAGAUUAGCUAGUUGGUGAGGUAAAGGCUCACCAAGGCGACGAUCUGUAGCGGGUCUGAGAGGAUGAUCCGCCACACUGGAACUGAGACACGGUCCAGACUCCUACGGGAGGCAGCAGUGGGGAAUUUUGGACAAUGGGCGCAAGCCUGAUCCAGCCAUGCCGCGUGAGUGAAGAAGGCC